rnacentral:lncRNA from 1 species
UUCAAAUCAAGAUUCAUAUAUAUUUUGAAUAAACAAAAUUAAGUCAUGUCAUAUUAAAUUAAAAACAUGAAUAUGAGAUGCAAUUUUGUCUUUUGACAUAGAACACAAUAAUUAAUAGUAAAGAGAAAGAAAGGGAAGAGUAGCUAAGGGGGUAAUCCACGACUAUUUCACAAUAAGAAAAGGAAAUAUAAGGGGUUAUCUGCGGCUGUUCCUUGCAGCUUCCCAUAGUGGCUCUCCUCAUCAUCUUUAUGAUAAAAUCAUCUAGACGGCUUCAAGUCAUCCUCUUAGCUGCUCUCAUUUUGGCAAGUGAUUGCAUUAUUUUUCAGAAUUCAAGUGUUUAACAAGCCACGAGAAAGGCAAUAACACUUAAUAACAUUUUUCUCUAAAAACUUAAUAUGAGAAAAUUGUGUGUCAAA